UGGGGAAUUUUGCGCAAUGGGGGAAACCCUGACGCAGCGACGCCGCGUGCGGGAUGAAGGCCUUCGGGUUGUAAACCGCUUUUGAUUGGGAGCAAGCUUUCGGGUGAGUGUACCUUUCGAAUAAGCGCCGGCUAACUACGUGCCAGCAGCCGCGGUAAUACGUAGGGCGCAAGCGUUAUCCGGAAUUAUUGGGCGUAAAGAGCUUGUAGGCGGUUCGUCGCGUCUGGUGUGAAAGCCCAUCGCUUAACGGUGGGUUUGCGCCGGGUACGGGCGGGCUAGAGUGCAGUAGGGGAGACUGGAAUUCCCGGUGUAACGGUGGAAUGUGUAGAUAUCGGGAAGAACACCAAUGGCGAAGGCAGGUCUCUGGGCUGUUACUGACGCUGAGAAGCGAAAGCGUGGGGAGCGAACAGG
rnacentral:rRNA from 1 species